rnacentral:rRNA from 1 species
AAACUGGGAUUAGAUACCCCACUAUGCUUAGCCCUAAACACAAAUAAUUAUAUUAACAAAAUUAUUCGCCAGAGUACUACCGGCAACAGCCUAAAACUCAAAGGACUUGGCGGUGCUUUAUACCCUUCUAGAGGAGCCUGUUCUAUAAUCGAUAAACCCGAUAAACCUCACCAGUCUUUGCUAAUACAGUCUAUAUACCGCCAUCUUCAGCAAACCCUAAAAAGGAAUAGAAGUAAGCACAAUCACAUAUACGUAAAAACGUUAGGUCAAGGUGUAACCUAUGGAAUGGGAAGAAAUGGGCUACAUUUUCUACUUAAGAAAAUUAUACGAAAGUUAUUAUGAAACUAAUAACCAAAGGAGGAUUUAGUAGUAAACUAAGAAUAGAGUGCUUAGUUGAAUUAGGCCAUAAAGCACGCACACACCGCCCGUCACCCUCAAGGAUUGCAUAAGCUUGAGUAUUUCUAUUAGUGGUCCACCUAAAAUAGCUUGGGCGGUAAUCAUGGGUNCAUAANCUUGGUUCCCUGGUGGUGGAAAAUUGGUUAUUCCGGGUCCACAAAUUUCCCAC